AUCGAACGCUGGCGGCAGGCUUAAUACAUGCAAGUCGAGCGAGCGGCGGACGGGUGAGUAAUGUCUGGGAAACUGCCUGAUGGCGGGGGAUAACUACUGGAAACGGUAGCUAAUACCGCAUACCAUCAGAUGUGCCCAGAUGGGAUUAGCUAGUAGGUGGGGUAAUGGCUCACCUAGGCGACGAUCCCUAGCUGGUCUGAGAGGAUGACCGGCCACCCUGGAACUAAGACACGCUCCAGCUUCCUACGGAAGGCAGCAGUGGGUAAUAUUGCACAAUGGGCGCAAGCCUGAUGCAGCCAUGCCGCGUGUGUGAAGAAGGCCUUCGAGUUGUAAAGCACUUUCAGCGAGGAGGCGUUACUCGCAGAGGAAGCACCGGCUAACUCCGUGCCAGCAGCCGCGGUAAUUC
rnacentral:rRNA from 1 species